rnacentral:rRNA from 1 species
UACGAAGGGUGCUAGCGUUGCUCGGAAUCACUGGGCGUAAAGCGCACGUAGGCGGCUUUCUAAGUCAGGGGUGAAAUCCUGGAGCUCAACUCCAGAACUGCCUUUGAUACUGGAGAGCUUGAGUCCGGAAGAGGUGAGUGGAACUCCGAGUGUAGAGGUGAAAUGCGUAGAUAUCUGGAGGAACACCGGUGGCGAAGGCGGCAUCCUGGACCGGUAUUGACGCUGAGGCGCGAAAGCCAGGGGAGCAAACGGG